rnacentral:rRNA from 1 species
UACGAAGGGGGCUAGCGUUGCUCGGAAUCACUGGGCGUAAAGGGCGCGUAGGCGGAUCUUUAAGUCGGGGGUGAAAGCCCAGGGCUCAACCCUGGAAUUGCCUUCGAUACUGGAGAUCUUGAGACCGGAAGAGGUAAGUGGAACUGCGAGUGUAGAGGUGAAAUUCGUAGAUAUUCGCAAGAACACCAGUGGCGAAGGCGGCUUACUGGUCCGGUUCUGACGCUGAGGCGCGAAGCGUGGGAGCAACAGG